rnacentral:rRNA from 1 species
GACGUAGGGCGCGAGCGUUGUCCGGAUUUAUUGGGCGUAAAGCGCACGUAGGCGGCGCAGCAAGUCAGGGGUGAAAUCCCGGGGCUCAACCUCGGAACUGCCCUUGAAACUGCAGUGCUAGAAUCUUGGAGAGGCGAGUGGAAUUCCGAGUGUAGAGGUGAAAUUCGUAGAUAUUCGGAAGAACACCAGUGGCGAAGGCGACUCGCUGGACAAGUAUUGACGCUGAGGUGCGAAAGCGUGGGGAGCAAACAGG